UACGUAGGGUGCGAGCGUUUGUCCGGAUUUAUUGGGCGUAAAGGGCUCGUAGGCGGCGUGUCGCGUCGGGGAGUGAAAGCCCGCUGCUUAACGGCGGGUUGGCUUCCGGUACGGGCAUCGCUGGAGUGCGGCAGGGGAGACUGGAAUUCCUGGUGUAGCGGUGGAAUGCGCAGAUAUCAGGAGGAACACCGGUGGCGAAGGCGGGUCUCUGGGCCGUUACUGACGCUGAGGAGCGAAAGCGUGGGGAGCGAACAGG
rnacentral:rRNA from 1 species